rnacentral:lncRNA from 1 species
GUUCAGGCCAGCCCUGGAGGUAUACAUCUGUAAUCCCAGUGCCUGCAGCAGGAGGAUUGCAAGUUCAAAGCCAGUGUCAACAAUUUAGCGAUUUAGCAAGGCCCUAAAGCAACUUAGACGCUAUCUUUAAAUAAAAUAUAAAAAAGGGCUGGUGAAUGGCUCAGUUGCCCUGGGUUCAAUCCGCAGUCAAAAAAAAAAAGUGUACAUAUCAGGGGUGUAAACGACACACUGUCUUGAACUUUAUGUUGUUGUGUAACCAAUCACCAGAAUGCUUUUUAUCUUGUAAAACUGAAACUCCUCACAUAUUUAACAAUGCCAUAUUUUCUCAUCCCCCAACUUCUGGCAACCAUUUUAUUUUGUCCCUAUGAAUUUGAUUAUUCUAGGUACCUCAUAGAAGUGGAAUCAUAUAGUAUUAUUCCUUUUGUGAUUGCCUUAGUUCAUUUAACAUCAUGCAUAGAAUUCAUGCAUGGUGUAUGCCUAUCAAAAUUUCCUUCCUUUUUAAAGUAAUAUUCCAUUUUGUGUAUAUAUCACUUUGGACUUCCAUCUUUUGAC